GUGUCAGCCGCCGCGGUAAUACAGAGGUGGCAAGCGUUGUUCGGAAUUACUGGGCGUAAAGGGCGCGUAGGCGGUCCGAUAAGUCCUGUGUGAAAUCCCUCGGCUCAACUGAGGAACUGCACGGGAGACUGUCGGGCUUGAGUUCGGGAGAGGGAAGCGGAAUUCCGGGUGUAGCGGUGAAAUGCGUAGAUAUCCGGAGGAACACCGGUGGCGAAGGCGGCUUCCUGGACCGACACUGACGCUGAGGCGCGAAAGCUAGGGGAGCAAACGGGAUUAGAUACCCCAGUAGUCC
rnacentral:rRNA from 1 species